CCGUCAACGUAGAAACAGGCAGCACAAAGAAGCGGAUUGUGGAAAUUCAAAUCGUAUAAGAAUACAGAUAUUGGAUAUUAAAACAAUAACAACGACAAAAAUUAAACAAAGGCAUAGCACUUGCACACAAAAAACAAGCUAAGCGACGGAGUUAACGAGUUAAACGACAUAAAUAGCGAUGCAUGCGGUGAAUGGGAGAAAACAAGGGAAAUUCGCUGAAAAGCAUAAAGGAAAACAGGAUAUGAUGAAUGGGCUGUGGAAACGGCAUGUGUGUAGGUAUGUGUUGGUGGGUGGAUGAUGAGCAGAGGAAUAUGAAUAAAAAAGAAUGCAGCAACAACAAAGCGAACUAUUGGUACAAUAAUAACAACACACAACAACUGGCAAUUAGAAUUAGUAUUAGUGUUAGUAGCACACACACAUACCGAUGCAUGGAUAUGUAGGAGUAUGUGUAGCAAAAAGGAAACCUAAAAGUUGACUAUGGCGAAUGAAUGUGCACAAGCAAACAACACAACAUUCGCGGAAGGAAAGAAAGAGAUGGAGAGUGAGAGCCGUACAAAAAAAUAUAGAGAGAGUGAGGAGUAAAGCAAAAUAGGUGGAUGCAAUGAUUUCUAGAAGCGCAUACAACCAAAGGCGAAGAAGACGGCAAAGAAGGCGAAAACACACAAACGAAAACAACAUAAAAACAACGCGAGAAGCACGAGAUGCAGCGCAAGCACAAGCUUGCAGGUUGGAAGAGGUGGCAGCAAGGCCUAACUGGCUGGCUGGCUGGCAAUCGGUACAUAGGCCUACGAAUCAGCGACAAAGACAACAACAACAGCGCCACGACGGCGCAGCAGCAGUAAAAUGCAACGACCGCAACACUAACAACAGAAACAACAAGUCCAAUUAGAAAACAUAAAAAACAAAAAACGGAAAAAGGAAAAUAUUACUGAAACUACAAUAUAUGUACGAGUAUUGUAAGCGACCAAAGGCGAGCGAGGCGAAAUCCUAAACACGAAGUGUAUUUGAAAGAUUGCCAAAAACACGAAGCAAGAUGAAAAGGCAAGCAAAUAAAAAGCGCAAAUGGUAGCAGCGCAAAUGCUGUUAUAAGGAACAACAACAAAGUUAGAAAAUUGCAACAACAACAACAACAAUUUAAAAAGUUAUGAAAAUUGUAAAAACAACAAAAGUUAAGAAAAAUUGCAACAACAACAACAACAAAUACAAAAAGCUGUGAAAAAUUACAAAUACAACAAAAACUGCAAAAAGUUGUGAAAAUUGCAAAAAUAACAAAAAGCAACAAAAUGAAAACAUAACUGUAUAUAAUGCAUGGCGCAGGCAAAACGAAGCUGUGUAACUACUGCUAAAGCAAGUAAAUAGCAAUGAAAACAAAAAGUAAUAAAUGGCAAGUUUAUAUACAUAGCAUGAAUAUAUAUAUGUAUAUGAAGCUUAUGUAAUGCGCAACAAGACAACAACAGCACGUGCUAUGCUUACACUAAACACUCCUGUUACGAAAAUUACACAUAGCAUGUGACUGCAAAUAUAUACUUGGUGCCAAAGCACAAUUUCUAUGAAAAUUGUAGCAACUGGUGCAGCAAUAGCCAAAGACAUGAUUACAGCUUGCAACAGGCAGUGAAAGUUGUUUUCAGCCUACUCACAACCUUUUCACAGUUUUUCGAGAAAUUUUUCAUAGUUUUAUAACACAAAAUUCAUUUAUUGCUUUGGGUUGUCCUAAACGGCCAAAUUAAAUUUAUUUCGAACAUUUUUUCGAAUUUUGUUUUUUUUUUGCCAUCAUGCUCUAGAACUCACUUAUCGCAUUUCAAUUAACACAUUGUUCAAAUAUUUUCUAAUAUUAAUUUAAAUAAUCAUUCCGUAAGCCGAAAAAAAACAAAA